UUUGUGUUCUGUUUUUGUUUUGUUAUAAAUAGAAAUUGUAAAAAGAAGAAAUUUUAUAAUUGAUCACAGACUGGAACUGUGACCUCGACGUGGAAACAAGCUUUUCUGUAAUCUUCUCAAAGUUUCAAAAAUAAAGAAUAUAAACAAAAAGGAUUAUGUGUUAUUGCAAAGGCAAUUUCAAGUUAGGUUGUCCAGGAUUGUUUUUUGGACAGGUCAGACAGUCGAUCUGUUUUCACGUUGGCCAGGAUUCUCUUGCAGAAUGGAAUCUAUUUUGCUGCCUACAGGAAGUCGCAUAUAUCUUAACUGAGCCUUAGAAUUAGAGUUAAUUCAAACAAUUGCUGACUUAUUCUAAGACCACCUCAAAAAACUUGUCUGAGGAAACUGUCUACAUAUUGUGUAUGUAUUUAUCGCUGUCCAGGUGGGAUGGUAUCAGCAACCAUUGCUACAGUUUGGUGAAGCCACUUCAAACCCGCAGCAGAGCAGCAGCACAAACCAAACACUGCCUGCCAUUUCUUAGGCAACAGUCUUCACAAUGACCACUAUUCAAAGUAGUACUGAUGUGUGCCAUAAUAGGAGCCAGGCCCAGAAUUUUCUAUUGUGUCUGCCUGUGUAUGUUGUGUUUGUUUAUCUGGGCAGCAGGCUGAAAUUGACACAAAGCACACAGAUGAUGGAUAGUGAGUGGAUGAGUUUUUCUUUUUGCUUUCUGUAAGUCACGAGGAAUUGACUGCUUUGGAAUUGCACUUCUACCAUAAGCGGACCAAGUUUAGAAGCCAGGGUGUCAUGUACUCCAGGCAGAGAUGCUUGAGCUCAAUACCUAACAGCUCUUCAGCCUCUGUAGCUCGGACCUGACACCCUGAAAUAAGCUAAGCAGAGAAAAAAACCAAGUGCAAAGGUCGAGAGGACCAUUCACAGCAGUUCUCAAGUCUGCAUCAGUUCAUUCAUCUCUCCGUUUCAACACACAGGUCUCUGGAAACUACCUUAUAACAUGAUGAAAACCACCAGAACUCUGUGCCUGUUUCUCCUGUUCCUGCUCCACCCUGCUGAAGCAGACCCAGCUCUUUCAACUACCACCAUGGAUUUACCCACAUCCCAAGACCAAACAGGCAGCCCAACAUUUACAGCAGAGUCCCACCUCACAGCAACUUACCAUGAAAACCCAGCUGUUGCAAUCAACGCCACUGGUGGCGACUGCUUAAUUGACACUGAGAUGGGUCUCAUUGCCAUUGGUUCAGCAGGAGGAUUAAUCCUCUGCUUACUGGUUACAACAUCUGUGCUUGCAUGUCAGAUCUGUGUCCUUCAGCACCGGGUCUACAUCCCCCGAAGUCGCCGAUCUAACACGGACAUAAGUGGUACUCACUACUGGGAAGCAGAUCAAACAGAGAUAGAAGGGCUGGUUGGCCCGUGUGAUACUACUGUUAUGCUAGAGGAGGUGAGAACAGACGGUACGACUGACAUACAGGAGGCUAAGGAGGAAGCUUGGGCAGGACUUGAUGAAGGGAAAACAACUUCUACUGAACCUGAAGAAAGAGUCUUUCAGAUCCAGAGCUUCAGUUCUAAGGAUUCCUGUUUGGAGGUCCCCAAGGAUUUGGAAGACAUGCCUCUUGUUGUAUAAAAUGGUAACCCACCCCUGUGUAAGCAUACCAAAUUUGUUAUGUUGUCUUUAUUCUUAUUUUUUUAGAAACUAAAGUUAUUGUAAAACGUAAGGCUACUUAGAUAUUAAAAAAUUGGGAUUAUCUUUAGAAUUUAAGAUUGAUUUAAAUUUAAAAAGAAACCAAUAAACCAACACUGAUAGCAGAUUAUAAGUUGUACAGUUUUUGAAAAAGUUUAGCUGUGUCAAAAUAGUUUUUUCACUAACAGAUUCAAGUUCAAAUAUGAAAAAAGUGUUUAUACACAAAGCAAAGUUUGAUGUUUGAGCUGUAUGAUGCUACAGAACUACUUUUGGUCACUAUCAAUUAAACAAAUAAAGGAAAAAGAAAAUACUGAAAACGAAGAAAUAAGUAUGUGACAUACUCAUGUUUAUAAAAUAUGAGAAAUCUGAAAGAAUAUUUUAAGAUUUCCGUUAGAACAGAGUUCAUCCAGGCAAAAUUAGGAAGAAUUAUUUUGACAUCCCAAUGUGUGCAAUUUUAAUCAAAAACUUCAUGAGAGAUUGUGGAAGAAAACAACACAUUUUUCCUGUGUUCAUAACAGAACAUCCUGUUUAUAAAGUGACCUUUAACCUCAUCUCACAGUCAAUAAGUGCUUUAGAGUGUAACUCUUAUUCAUACUUUUUCAAACACACUUAUGCAGUUCCUUGUGGAAGCAUUCAUGCCACUUCACAAUUAUGCAGUACUUUGUGUCUGGUUAUCAAAUAAAUCCUAAUAAAAUAAGGUUUGUGACUAAAACAUGACAAAAUAUCAACAGUUCAGGAGACAAUAAUAUAACAUGCAUUCUCUUCAGAUAGCGCUUUUUUUUUUUUUGAAGUCUCCAGGGUAAAAGGGUAACGGUAUGGAUCAAUGGAAAGUUUGGGGAUCGGUACCAAAUUAGAAAAACUUGAGAUAUGAAAUAAUAUUGGUGAAUGUCACAAUAAUGAUAUGAUUUGUGAUAAAUAAAUCAUUUUUAAAAAAGCC